rnacentral:snRNA from 8 species
UCUUAUCAGUUUAAUAUCUGAUACGUCCCCCAUCGGGGGACUACAUAUUAAAUGGAUUUUUCGAACAGGGAGUCGGAAAUGGGGCUUGCUCCGUCCGCUCCACGCAUCGACCCGGUAUUGCAGUACCUCCGGGAAUGGUGCAACACUU